AUUGAACGCUGGCGGCAGGCCUAACACAUGCAAGUCGAGCGGAUGAAGGGAGCUUGCUCCUGGAUUCAGCGGCGGACGGGUGAGUAAUGCCUAUGAAUCUGCCUGGUAGUGGGGGAUAACGUCCUGAAACGGGCGCUAAUACCGCAUACGUCCUUAGGGUGAAAUUUGGGGAUCUUCGGACCUCUCGCUAUCAUAUGAUCCUAGGUCGGAUUAGCUAGUUGGUGGGGUAAAGGCCUACCAAGGCGACGAUCCGUAACUGGUCUGAGAGGAUGAUCAGUAAAACUGGAACGGAGAAACGGAACAGAAGACUACGGGAGGGAGCAGUGGGGAAUAUUGGAAAAUGGGCGAAAGCAUGAUACAGCAAUGCCGCGUGUGUGAAGAAGGUCUUCGGAUUGUAAAGCACUUUAAGUGGGGAGGAAGGGCAGUAAGUUAAUAACUUGCUGUUUUGACGUUAACAACAGAAUAAGCACCGGCUAACUUCGUG
rnacentral:rRNA from 1 species